AAAACAUAAAUUUAUUUAAGUCUGCAGUCUCUGACAUUUACAGGAGAGAAGAUGUUGGACACCAGUAAAUAUUCCUGCCCUUGGACUCUCUUAGAGCUGUGGCACCACUACAGAUAAGGCCUUUCUUUUUUUGUUUUCUUUUUUCUUUUUGUUCUUUUUUUUUCAGGCUACUUCACCUGAAACAGAAUAGAUGACCCAAUAAUAUAAUAAUCAAAUUCUAUGUUCCUAUUCAUUGUUCUUAGUGAUAAAGACUGUCUGGAUGUUUUCAAAUUCUAUUGUGUUGGCUGCUUGCAAUUCUGAACUCUGAGAUUUUCUGCAGAAGUUGAAUAAUGUUAUUUCAGCUCAUGUGCCAUUCAGGCAAAUGUCAGUUACAACCUUACUACACCGCCUAGGCUACUUGCAUACAGCCGAUUAGAGAUGAUGCACUUAGGAUUCACCCUAAUGUGUGAGGGUGUUCCAGCUUUCACAAAUGAUAUAUCCAGGUUACAUCCACAGCAUCAUUUUUACUAAGCUUCCAUGUAGAACAGAAACAGCAUGAUACCUCCAAAAUGGUACAUCUACAGUAAAUAAUAGGAUAAGGCAUAUGCUAAUACUAUGAGAUAAACAUGAAUGCUCAGGAUAGGAAGAUGAAGCAAGUGUGGUCAUUGCUAUGAUGAGGAUACAUGGAACACAUAGAGGAUAUUGGAGUGCAAGUUCCUGUAUGGUCUUGCUGUUUUGUAACCUGGAUAACCUGAAACAGACCAUAAAUGGCAGUUUAUUGAACAACUGAUAACUUUGCAGUUAAUCCCAUGAUCAAGCAUAAUUUUAGAGUCCAGCUCAGCAAAGUAGAGGUAGGAGGUAGAGGGCAAUAUUGUAUUAGAUUCUAAUAACAUGGGAAGUCUUUCGGUAGAAUAAGGAAAAACAGUGAAGUCACUGACCACAGGUUGCAGGUAGGAAAACUAAAUAGAAAGAAAAACAAUUUUGACAAAAUGAAGGCCAGCUUUAAACCAGGUCGCCAGAGAGGUCAUAGACUCUCCUUUCAUGGGAGUUCUCAUAUUCAGCUAGGCAAAGCCUAAGUGAUCUUGUCUUUUGCUGGCUUAGAAGUCUUGCUAUAGAAGUCAAGUAGACGAGCUUCAGAGCUCUCUUUUUUUUGAAAUGGACAUGCAAAAGAUGCCGUAAGUCUAUCUAAUGUAAAAUAUUAUAAAGUAUUAAUUUGCUGUUAAUCUGUAAUUCAUCUUCAUGGACAGCUAAUGGAAAACAGAUAUGUAAUUAAUAUUAAACACCCUCAAAACUUUUGACUCUGGAAGAAUCCUUUUGCUGAAAAAUGUCUAACUGGAACAUACAACACAUAUUUUAUUUCAAAUGUAGUUGAAACAUAGCUCUUAUUGCUCUAUGUUUCCAGUUUACUGAAAAUAUUCCAUAGCAUAUGGCCCAUCUUUUCUUUCCCUACAUCUGUAAUUUAUUGAAGAAUCUGAGGCAUUCGGAAAAGAGAUAGAAAGCAUCAUGUCACCUUUCCUUUUGAACAGCUUUGAAUUACUUUCCUGUAAUCAUUACCGCAGAUUAAUGCCAUCAAAGAGCAGUUCUGCAGCAGAUAAAAUGAACAGCUUCUGAUAAAUUUAUCAUUAUAGCAAAUCACACCGAGCAGGAUUUCUUCCCUCAGCUUGCAGAAUGUACAGAUGAUUUUUUUUUCCCUUUAAAUUUUAAAGGACUCCAUAGCUGGGAAGGACAACCUGAAUGUCAGUAUGAAAGUCCUGAAAACAUGCUAUGCUAGCCAUGUGGGAGAAAAAAAUAACAAAAUACAUUUGCCUAAAAUUUGGACAUUUGUACUGUAUCACUGUGGUGAAGCAGAUCUAAUUAUAAGUUUAAAAAUCUUUAGAGAAAAUGUUAAUACCUAAAAUACGAUCUGGGAGAGAAUAGCAUUAAGAAAUUCUGAAUCUUCUUUUGGUUUUGCUUUGUUUUAUCCUAAGUCAUUGUCAUUUGAAUUAGGUAGGAUUUAUCAGGUUUAUGGGUUGCAUGCUGAAAAAAACAGACAAAGUAAGGGUCAUCAGGUUUCUCUGCAGACCAAAAUCUGCUGUGCGUGCUCAUCUGUCUUCUAUCUCUCAGUCAUUUCUCUGGCUAUUAAACAUUAAUGACUAUUGAGUGACUCAGAAGAAGGGCAGGGGGCACUUCUGGAAGAAGUUCAAGUACUCUGCUGAUGAGAGCAGUACUAGCACCUUAAUAGUGUAGAAGAAGAUAUACCAAGUUGCAUAUUCAGUCAUAUUUCUUCUUUUAUACAGAAAUGGAAAAAGGAAUACUAAAUUAAAAAAAUAAAAAGAGUGAUCAUUUAGACCUGAGGCAAACACGUGGUGUAAUCUUUGGUGUUGCACUAUUGAAUGCUAUGAAACUGGCAUGUAGCACUGUAAAGACAAAAUAAAGGUAUUAUGGGACUGAAAUUUGAACUGAAAGAGAACACCUGAAAUAGCUCUUGUGUUUGCCUCUGUGCAGCCUCAUAUGAUGUAUUUGUUGAUGACAGCGGAGAAGUGGACCUGAACCUAGAGGGGCCUCUUGCAGCCCAUGCUUCAUCUUUCCCACCAGAAACACAGUGCAGUUCCCCCACCUACCUUCCUGCUGUGCCCCAUUCUCUUAAUAAGCACUUUUUUUCCUGAUAUGAUAGACAAGUUCGUUUCCCACAAAAGUGUUUAUUAUGUGGUUAGCAAGUGAUAAAAUGAUUAUAACAAUAUGUGCAAAGUCUUAUGCUAAGUUGCUGUAUGGUAACAUUAAAGAGGCAGUCAUUAAGCAACAUUAAAUACUUUGUUACAGUAUUAUAGUUUUACAUUUUCAUUCCAAGCUUCAUGUUUGAAUCCAUUCCAGUGUAAAUAAGAAUAAUUUUAUCUGAGUUUGUCAUCAUUUUAGUUUUAUCCAUGUUUAUGGUUUAAUUGAAUUGGACAAUUCUGUCAAAAAUAUCUCAGCCAUUUUUGAUCUAUCCUCAAACAUAGUUAAUCAAAGCAUGCUUCACUGGCUUCACAGAAAUAAUCAAAUAACUGCAAUUUUUGUGAUUAGACCACUCAAAUUCCUUUCAUAGUUGUCAGGUAUAUUGUCUUCAAAGAGUGUAUGUCUUUUUUAUGUGUUAGAAGACAGUUGAGUUUCAAGGAGCUGAAAGAGGAAAAUAUUUCAAAGGCAAUCUUGUAGCAUUAUUUCUUGUAUCUUCAGGAGAGGCUCUGGGAAACAAUGGGACAGAAGUGUCUUUGUUUUAUAAGACUGAGUUUUAAAUCCUGACUGUAGCACUGAAUCUGUGUACAACCAGGAACAAAUUAUUUUACACUUCAGUCUUCGUUUCACCUUUAAAAUGAGGGUAAUAGUAUUUACAACCCUUUCCUGUCUGUUUCACAGCAAUCCUGGGGUUGUUAAUGAAAAAAUAUAUAGUAAGACACUGUACUCUGAACAACUAAGGCUACAACUAAGGCUUCAUAACAGUGUUAUAAUAAUAUUUCUGAAAGAAAGCACACCAGUUCCCGUAACAAUGUACACUUUUCCAAAGACCUUAAUUUGUUAUUAACUCAGUUUCUAUACAUGGACACCCUAAAAACAUGGGAGUAGGUAGAUGAAAGCAAACAGGGACUUUUCAGGUACAAGAGUGGUUCCAGCUUGUCUCUCUUUCUCAGAUCAGGGAGAUCACACCAAAUUUUGAAAUUUUGCUUUCCAACUUUUUUGUGUUUGUCCAUUUCUCAGCAAUGCAAGGCAAAAGAAAUUUGGUGAGCAAAAAAUGGCUUCUGCAAUUAUUCUGAUUCCAUUAGUUUUCAUCAUUACCUGCUUCCUAGCUAACCCUACACAUACGCACAUUUACGUUACUGUCUGUACCAAGCUUCAGUAUUGCUGGUGGCUUCUGCUUCGCUGCCAUGUCCCUCUGCUUUUUAUUUUGUUCCCAUUUCAAGUUUGUGUCCUUGAAGAUUUCUUCUUUCACUAAUUGAGUCCUUGACAUUCUGGAAGAUAAACAGGUCUUAGGCACGCUGUUAUCAAUAUCAGAUUUGCUUCAAAUAUUUUGGGAAGUUCUGGGAGUAGAAUUUGAAAACAGCAUUUACAGUUUUGGAGAUCUGGUAUCCAGUGAAUGAGGGAACUAAUUUUUGUCCAGAUGGUGAAAUGAAUUCUUUUUCAAGAUUUCAUCUUCCUCUUAUGCACUUCUCUCACUCAUAGUGUCCCUUAUGACAUUAAUACCAAGUCACUCUCUGUGACAUGACCUGAUCUGCUGUGGUAUCUUUUCUUCACUCCCUUUCUCUCUUAUUAACACUUUUGUUCAUGACCCUUGUUAAAUACACAAUCAAGGUGAGAAAAACUGAAAACACAUAAUAGUUUUCUAUUAGAGGGAGUAUGAAGUACACACCAACUAGGAAGGAUCUAAACUGACAUUUGGAACAGGUUAUUGCAUAAAAAGAUCUUCCUUUAAAAGUUUUAUAAAUAUUUUUUUCUCUAUGAGGGACACCACCAGGUGAACCUGGUUUACAUGUUUUGUUUGUACCAGUCUUUUUUUAAUAACUCAUGAAAACUGCAGCAGUGUGUCUGCAAUGAAAAAUAUAACUUCUGUGAUUAUAUAGUGUGCUAAACAUGACACAUUUAGUCCAUGGCAAAUAAGUGCAAAUGGAAGGAAGAAUGUGAAGGGAAAACUUAAGUGUGUUGCUUCAUACAGUAGACAGUGGUGUGAUGUAGGGAGAGUAUGAAGAGGUAACAAGUACCUUAUAAUUCUCUCUGUGGAUAGGAAUAAACUAAUGCUGAACAAUCUUUACCAUAUAAGGCUUCUUGAAGAAAUUAAUGAGUCACAGAUUGCUGGAAGUUUCCCUGUUGCAAGCUGUUUGAGCAUCUGCUUCUAAAUUUCAGAACAAGACAGAUGUCAUAUUUUAUAAAAGUCCUCAGAAUAUAUAUAUAUAUUAGUCAUUUCCAGAAGCUUCAAUUUCACGUGUGGGAGCAACUAGUUUUAAGACUGAUUUGUGAGAAGUCUUGCUUGUUUUCACACUGUUAUUUAGCUACAGACUUAAUGAUGGGCUGUGUUCAACAAAGCAUAAUGCGAGAGUGUACUUUUUGCAGGUUCAAUACAAAUUAUAAAAAAAUAGUGCAACUGUUCCUCCUCCAUCCACCCACAGGUCACUGACAAGCUAUCUCAAAAUCAGGCUGAGGCUCAGAUGAGUUUUGUGGUCAUUUGUCAUCAGGGUAACAGAAUAUUUGCUUCAUAUCUCAUUUAUAGAGGAGUUUUACUUCUUUCCACAUCUGUCUCAGGCAGAAGGUAGAAAUACUUCAAUUUUCUGUUCUUAAGGGAGACUGUGAAAGGAACUCUUAGUUAUUUUCUGCUGAAUUGUUCUCCACAGAACUAAGGCUGAAUGAUUUGCAGGGAAGCACUUGUUCAGGGGCCAUUCCCUGGUGUCUUCUACCCUCACCCUGCCACUGAAAGUUUGCCCAGCCUCACACUAGAAGAAAGGAAGACACUGCUUAAAGCAAUUUUAUUCGUACCAGCUUUUUAGAGAACUGCUAUUGGAAACAGCAAUAUGAAGCAAUGAAAUUAGCUCUCUGGUAACAUGCCUCUGAAUGGUUUCAGACCAAUUAUGUGAUCAGGUUUGAAUACCUGUGGACAAACCGCAGGGUGAUUUUGAUGUCUGAGGGAAGUGAAUGUGAAAGGUGAUCCACCAGGUCCCCUGAUACAAGGAAGCCACUGACUUCAGUGGAGUUGUGCUAAUUUACUUGGGGAUCUAGUCUGUGUUUCACCAUGCUCACAAUACAUUGAUGUACUAUUUUGCCUCUGUGUCUUUGAUUCUUGUUCUUUUCUCAGUCAAGAUUUGCCCUUAAGAUUGCCGUUUAAAUAUACGGUUUAAUACUAGCAACAAGCUCUGUUCUCUGAUUGCUCCUUUUCUGUGACCUUACAAACACCCAUAGUCAUGCUGUUUAUUUCACCAUGUGUUACUGUUUGAUGCAGGCCAGUGUCUCCCAGGAGCCAGGCCUGGCAGCCAGUGCCAGUGUCCCACUGGUCCACAGGGGCAGGCAGCUGGGGGCACAAGGGCAGCCCCAGACAGAGGCAUUGGAAAUGUCCCUGGGGAUGAGCUCAGUUGGGACUAAGAUGUAGACCUGAAGGUAGGUCCAGCUCAGGAGGGCCCAUGGCUGGGCAGGGCAGGGUUGCAGGUAGCUCUGUCAAAAAUAGACAGACUGUGGUGACAGAUAGGCACCAGGCCAAGGGAAAUACAUUUUUGGUAGACAUUGCCAGGACAAUGCCACCAAGGCAGAGCAGAGCACUGACCCCAGCCCCAUUCACAUUCCACAUGGAGAACUUGCUCUAAGGGCAGCCAACAAGGUGUUGGGGUCCUGUGUGGGCAAUCCUGGCGUGAAAUCUGCUCUUUGCUCCCAGAUACCCAGUAUAACUGAUGCAGCAUUGUUUCCCCAGCAAGAACCAGUAUUUGGCCAGUCAGCCAUGAAGUUUCUACUCCUGUGUUUACAGAUUUGCUUCGUAGAAGUGCUGAAGUCACAGGAAUGCUUGCUGUGAACAGUCUGUGUGGACUGAUGUGACUAAUGCCACGAGCUGUACUUGUGGUUAAGUUAGAAAACAUUCAUUUUAUUAUUAACACAAAAUAGUUGCUGCGCUGUUAAGAAUGCUUAUGUAGGAAUUAUUUGGACCCUAACAAAGGAUUUACCUCCCGCUAUUAUGAAUCAGUCCUCCGAGCUGUAAGCAGAAAUAAUGCCAUGUCAUUUAGGUAAUUAAUUAUCAGUCUUUAAUUAUGAAUAACAAAUAGCUACUGUGACUGCUUUAAGAACAAAUCCCAGCAUAAAAUUUGUCUUCACAAUAUAUUUGUCAAAAAAUAAGAAAUAAUGAGUAUGAAGCAAACUGAUUAUGCAAGAUUGGUAAGUAAAAAGGUUGCUUAAUGAAUGUCAUUUGUUUUUAUACGAUGAAAAAUGUGAACUGUAAUUCACCCUGAUAUGUGUUAGAAUUUCCAUGGGCCCAUGCCACUGAAAAAUUAUGAUUCUUCAUUCACCAUAAAGUUAAGCACAGAUGAAAGCUUUGACAGGCUUGGAAAACAACUAACAUUGGGUCACCACAUCAAAAAACUAAUAAGUGAACAAGACACAAACCAGUAGUUAUUACAGUGAUUAGUUCUGGUGAUGUGGAGGAAAAGAAGUAAAAAGGAAAUAAUUCAAAGAAUAUUUAUUUAUUAACAAUUUCCCCUCUGCAGUCUAAUAUUUUGUUUUGUUUCCCCUCCAUCUCCUCCUUUCUUUUUCUAUUUAUUUAUUUAUUUAUUUAUUAUUAUUUUUCUUGUCUGGAUGUAAGAAAAAUUUAUGUUCCAGCCUGAACUGAUGAUUGAGCACCUGGUGAAGAUGGUGGCUGGCCCAGGAAGCACAGUGCAAGCAAUUCACCUGUGCUUCCCACAUGACCAGAAGUUCAUUUAAAGGCUAGCCAAGGGAGAGUAUUUUCUGGAUGAAGGCUACUUCUGGAGAAGGCGUGUUCUUUAGCUGGAGACCCUAUUGCUUGUUGGAGUUGUGUGCUCUAGAGAGAUUGAGGAAAUGGAUCAUUGAGGAUUGAGCUACUCUACAGAUGGGCCAGCUUUACAGAUGGUACAGCAAACAGAGGGCUGCAAACCAAGCUGUACCUGAGCUGGGAGCAGCCUGACCCUGGCAUAGGGACGUUGGUGCUGAAAAGUCACGGUGCAGUCAUUGGCAAGGCACAUCUCAGAACAGCUCUGCAAUCUCUGUCUACUUAUCCAUCAGCAAGAUCUGUAAGAUGCUGCCAGGUUGGCAAAAGCCAUGAUUGGUGGGACAAACGUGUGCCUUGAAAAGGAUAUACGUUUUUUGGAGAAACAACCAAAUAAACCAGGCUUGCCUACGGAAUAUUCUAUAGCACAAUCACUCAUUUCAUGCCUCACAAAGUCUGUGAAGCUCCUGGCACCACUGGAUGCCUUUGAACACCAUCUUAUAUGGAGAACUCCCACACCUGUUUUCAUAGUCCUCCCUUUGUUGAGUGUCCAGAAACACAUCCAGGGCACCAAAUGGAUGGACUGGUUCGAAUCAAGUAUGACCUUAUCACUGUGGCCAUGGUAACUACCAACUAACAAGGGAGACAGGUAUAAACUGAAUAUCUCUUGUUUAGUUUAUCACUCUCUGAAUGGCUGAUGCAACACAGCAGCAGUUCCGGGGUAGGAAUCUGUAAAGACAAAGAUUCAGAAAUAAUAUCUCAAAAUCUCACUUCCUGCUCUGCCCUCCUCCUGUGUGUUUCUUUAGCCCUUCUACCUGCCAACAGCUUCUAGCAAGGAUUAGUAGCCAAGGUGGCCAGGUUCCUUGGAGAACAUGCUAAAUGAAACUAUAUAUGUAUAGCUGCCUAAGAUGGGGGAUGGCUGGGUUAACAUCAAGGGGCUGGAAAAGGUAGAGACUGGUAAAAUAGAGGGAAACUAAAAACCCUCAGAGGGAGUUCUCAUGCACUAUGAUGCCUUGUUACAACUCUGCUUAUCCUUCUCCUGAACUUUCAUCUCUCACUUAGAAAGAGGAUGAGAGAUUAAAUCUGUAUGAGAUAUUAAACUCAGAGAUGUUGUAAAUACAGAAAUAAACCUGAAA